rnacentral:lncRNA from 1 species
ACCUUGGGAACAUCAAUAGCAACUUCUCUCAAACCACUAGGUCGCACAUGUUGAAACGCUUCUCUGACGUCGUUCAUCGAAAGGACAAAAUGGGCACUAUUUCCAGACUCAUCAUUAUCGCUCGGUUGGUGAACAUUCUGAGAGUUUCUCCUUAAUGCAACCAUGCUUGCUUCUUUAACAACAGCCAUUAAAUCUGCUCCAACAUAACCGUGUGCGUUGUCAGCAAACCUACAGCGCAACACAAAGUUCACCAAUAGUAUGAGUAGUUUCAUAAAGAAAUUUAUCCCACACAUUCCUAAUUUUGU